GUGGGGAAUAUUGGACAAUGGGCGAAAGCCUGAUCCAGCCAUGCCGCGUGUGUGAAGAAGGUCUUCGGAUUGUAAAGCACUUUAAGUUGGGAGGAAGGGUAGUAACCUAAUACGUUGCUACUUUGACGUUACCGACAGAAUAAGCACCGGCUAACUUCGUGCCAGCAGCCGCGGUAAUACGAAGGGUGCAAGCGUUAAUCGGAAUUACUGGGCGUAAAGCGCGCGUAGGUGGUUUUGUAAGUUGGAGGUGAAAUCCCCGGGCUCAACCUGGGAACUGCCUCCAAAACUGCAUGACUAGAGUACGGUAGAGGGUAGUGGAAUUUCCUGUGUAGCGGUGAAAUGCGUAGAUAUAGGAAGGAACACCAGUGGCGAAGGCGACUACCUGGACUGAUACUGACACUGGGGUGCGAAAGCGUGGGGAGCAAACAGGAUUAGAAACCCCAGUAGUCC
rnacentral:rRNA from 1 species